ACGGGUGAGUAAUGCCUAGGAAUCUGCCUGGUAGUGGGGGACAACGUUUCGAAAGGAACGCUAAUACCGCAUACGUCCUACGGGAGAAAGCAGGGGACCUUCGGGCCUUGCGCUAUCAGAUGAGCCUAGGUCGGAUUAGCUAGUUGGUGAGGUAAUGGCUCACCAAGGCGACGAUCCGUAACUGGUCUGAGAGGAUGAUCAGUCACACUGGAACUGAGACACGGUCCAGACUCCUACGGGAGGCAGCAGUGGGGAAUAUUGGACAAUGGGCGAAAGCCUGAUCCAGCCAUGCCGCGUGUGUGAAGAAGGUCUUCGGAUUGUAAAGCACUUUAAGUUGGGAGGAAGGGUUGUAGAUUAAUACUCUGCAAUUUUGACGUUACCGACAGAAUAAGCACCGGCUAACUCUGUGCCAGCAGCCGCGGUAAUACAGAGGGUGCAAGCGUUAAUCGGAAUUACUGGGCGUAAAGCGCGCGUAGGUGGUUCGUUAAGUUGGAUGUGAAAUCCCCGGGCUCAACCUGGGAACUGCAUUCAAAACUGUCGAGCUAGAGUAUGGUAGAGGGUGGUGGAAUUUCCUGUGUAGC
rnacentral:rRNA from 1 species